UACAUGGCAGAAGCUCCAUGGCAUAGUCUGGAUCCAUGUCAUGACCAGGGCCACAAGGGAAGUCUGUGGCAGAGGAGGGGUUUGAGCCCAGCUCUCUCCCCAGUGCCCCUAAGCACCGGUUGACAGAGUAGGACAGUGCCAUGUUGUAUGUCCCAGCCUGCACGGAGGAGCCCCAGUUGACAGCUACGGUGGGAUGAGGAAGAAGAUGCAGAAGAAAGGUCAGUAGGUCCCACACCCACAUCCCUCCUAGUGGGAGAGCACAUCUGGAGCAGUGAAUGGAAAGACCCACCCCGCAGUGAGAGAGAAAGGGGCUGGGAAGCACCUCCUCACCUGGCUUCUUAUAGCUGACAUAGGCCACGCUGACCAGAAUGAUUCCUACCACAAUGAGGGCUGCCC